rnacentral:rRNA from 1 species
AUGCCUUUCGAUCUCCCCAGUGAGCCUACGACCAACUCCUACGAGGAGAUGAUGGUUGACAUGCGCAUGAUAUCUUACCGAUGGCGGCCACACAGAGUGCUGCUGUACGUAGGCAGCUUGCCUAACACGCCAACAUCACGCCGGACACAACCUUCGCGACGGAGAAAGUCAAGCUCUGUCACGGCGAAUACCAUCAAUACGUGUGUGGCUAUUAGCAGUAGCACAUGGAACAAGCUGCUGCAUCUGGCCAGAUCAGCCAAUGACUCUGACUUUGUUGGUAGUCCCAUGUUCGGUGAGUCGGCCACUGAAUUCCUUGCGAGCACCAGAGACCUUGAAUCCCGAUUCAGAUCCAGUGGUGUACAUCGUGGUUCCAAGAUAAUUCCACCGAAUCCGAUGAUACUAGCGUGA